GUUGUGGUGAGGGUAGUGGGUAAAGAAGCGCCGGCUAACUACGUGCCAGCAGCCGCGGUAAUACGUAGGGCGCGAGCGUUGUCCGGAAUUAUUGGGCGUAAAGAGCUCGUAGGCGGCUGGUCGCGUCUGUCGUGAAAUCCUCUGGCUUAACUGGGGGCUUGCGGUGGGUACGGGCCGGCUUGAGUGCGGUAGGGGAGACUGGAACUCCUGGUGUAGCGGUGGAAUGCGCAGAUAUCAGGAAGAACACCGGUGGCGAAGGCGGGUCUCUGGGCCGUUACUGACGCUGAGGAGCGAAAGCGUGGGGAGCGAACAGGAUUAGAUACCCUGGUAGUCCACGCUGUAAACGUUGGGCACUAGGUGUGGGGGCCACCCGUGGUUUCUGCGCCGUAGCUAACGCUUUAAGUGCCCCGCCUGGGGAGUACGGCCGCAAGGCUAAAACUCAAAGGAAUUGACGGGGGCCCGCACAAGCGGCGGAGCAUGCGGAUUAAUUCGAUGCAACGCGAAGAACCUUACCAAGGCUUGACAUAUACUGGACCGCAUCAGAGAUGGUGUUUCCCUUCGGGGCUGGUAUACAGGUGGUGCAUGGUUGUCGUCAGCUCGUGUCGUGAGAUGUUGGGUUAAGUCCCGCAACGAGCGCAACCCUUGCCCUAUGUUGCCAGCACGUGAUGGUGGGGACUCGUGGGGGACUGCCGGGGUUAACUCGGAGGAAGGUGGGGAUGACGUCAAAUCAUCAUGCCCCUUAUGUCUUGGGCUUCACGCAUGCUACAAUGGCCGGUACAGAGGGUUGCGAUACUGUGAGGUGGAGCUAAUCCCUUAAAGCUGGUCUCAGUUCGGAUUGGUGUCUGCAACUCGACACCAUGAAGGUGGAGUCGCUAGUAAUCGCAGAUCAGCAACGCUGCGGUGAAUACGUUCUCGGGCCUUGUACACACCGCCCGUCACGUCACGAAAGUUGGCAACACCCCAAGCCCGUGGCUCUACGGGGAGCGGUUAAAGGUGGGGCUAGCGAUUGGGACGAAGUCGUAACAAGGUAGCCGUACCGGAAGGUGCGGCUG
rnacentral:rRNA from 1 species